AGGGGGCAGAAAGAAGGUAGAGAGAGAAAUCACUCGCCAGCCCGGAACCGCCAGAGGGAGAGAAAGAGGAGCAGCAGCGGCAGGGAGUGAGACUGGGACCAACUGUGACGGAAUAAUAAUGGCAGAAAAGGAGGCUAAUCUCUGACAGGAGAGUCGAGGGAUCCGGAGGGAGAGGAUAGAUUGACUUUGAAAGGCUCAUUCAUCAACGCCGGGACUUCCCGCUGACAGGACAAGGCCCCACGUGGCUCCAGCCGGGAGGAGGGAGUUCACUGGGGCUCACACAAAGGAACAUGGAUC
rnacentral:lncRNA from 1 species